rnacentral:rRNA from 1 species
CAGUCGAACGAAGCACUGAAAGCAGAUUACUUCGGUAGGAAGCUAUCUUUGACUGUGUGGCGGACGGGUGAGUAACGCGUGGGUAACCUGCCUCAUACAGGGGGAUAACAGUUAGAAAUGACUGCUAAUACCGCAUAAGCGCACGGGACUGCAUGGUCCAGUGUGAAAAACUCCGGUGGUAUGAGAUGGACCCGCGUCUGAUUAGCUAGUUGGUGGGGUAAGGGCUCACCAAGGCGACGAUCAGUAGCCGGCCUGAGAGGGUGACCGGCCACAUUGGGACUGAGACACGGCCCAAACUCCUACGGGAGGCAGCAGUGGGGAAUAUUGCACAAUGGGGGAAACCCUGAUGCAGCGACGCCGCGUGAAGGAAGAAGUAUUUCGGUAUGUAAACUUCUAUCAGCAGGGAAGAAAAUGACGGUACCUGACUAAGAAGCCCCGGCUAACUACGUGCCAGCAGCCGCGGUAAUACGUAGGGGGCAAGCGUUAUCCGGAUUUACUGGGUGUAAAGGGAGCGUAGACGGCUGUGCAAGUCUGGAGUGAAAGGCGGGGGCCCAACCCCCGGACUGCUCUGGAAACUGUAUGGCUGGAGUGCAGGAGAGGUAAGCGGAAUUCCUAGUGUAGCGGUGAAAUGCGUAGAUAUUAGGAGGAACACCAGUGGCGAAGGCGGCUUACUGGACUGUAACUGACGUUGAGGCUCGAAAGCGUGGGGAGCAAACAGGAUUAGAUACCCUGGUAGUCCACGCCGUAAACGAUGAUUACUAGGUGUCGGU